CACUGAGAAUUAACAUGUAGACAAGGAAGGAAAAAAAGAAGAACAAGAAGAUGAAGGAAACAUUAUUCAGGAACUAUGCCGUCUCAGUCUUCAAUGAAUAUGAUAUAUUUUAUUAU
rnacentral:ribozyme from 1 species